ACGGGAGGCAGCAGUGAGGAAUAUUGGUCAAUGGGCGAGAGCCUGAACCAGCCAAGUAGCGUGCAGGAUGACGGCCCUAUGGGUUGUAAACUGCUUUUGUCAGGGAAUAAAAAGUGGGACGCGUCCCGCCUUGCAUGUACCUGAAGAAUAAGGACCGGCUAAUUCCGUGCCAGCAGCCGCGGUAAUACGGAAGGUCCGGGCGUUAUCCGGAUUUAUUGGGUUUAAAGGAGCGCAGGCGGCCUUUUAAGCAUGCUGUGAAAUGUAGGGGCUCAACCUCUGCACUGCAGCGUGAACUGGGAGGCUUGAGUACGCGGGAAGUAGGCGGAAUUCGUCGUGUAGCGGUGAAAUGCUUAGAUAUGACGAAGAACUCCGAUUGCGAAGGCAGCUUACUGUAGCGCCACUGACGCUAAAGCUCGAAAGUGCGGGUAUCGAACAGGAUUAGAUACCCUGGUA
rnacentral:rRNA from 1 species